GAUGAACGCUAGCGGGAGGCCUAACACAUGCAAGCCGAGCGGUAUUGUUUCUUCGGAAAUGAGAGAGCGGCGUACGGGUGCGUAACACGUGUGCAACCUGCCUUUAUCUGGGGGACAGCCUUUCGAAAGGAAGAUUAAUACUCCAUAAUAUAUUGAACGGCAUCGUUUAAUAUUGAAAGCUCCGGCGGAUAGAGAUGGGCACGCGCAAGAUUAGCUAGUUGGUGAGGUAACGGCUCACCAAGGCGAUGAUCUUUAGGGGGCCUGAGAGGGUGAUCCCCCACACUGGUACUGAGACACGGACCAGACUCCUACGGGAGGCAGCAGUGAGGAAUAUUGGUCAAUGGGUGCAAGCCUGAACCAGCCAUCCCGCGUGAAGGACGACUGCCCUAUGGGUUGUAAACUUCUUUUGUAUAGGGAUAAACCUACCCUCGUGAGGGUAGCUGAAGGUACUAUACGAAUAAGCACCGGCUAACUCCGUG
rnacentral:rRNA from 1 species